GACCCCAGGGUCUUCAACAUCCUGCAGCUUUCAUCCGUCCUUCGGAUGAACAGUUUCCCACAGCUGCUCCUGCCCCACACAGCUGUUGUCUGUGGAGGCCUGCAGCCAUGUGGCCGGCCACAGAAAUGGGUGUUCCUCUCCUCCACUGCAGGACUCUUCCUGCUCCGUUGGUGACCAGCCUUCCCCACACCCCACAUCCUGAAGCUCCCGGACCGCCUGCAUGUGCAGCAGCAGGCAGCAGGGCUUGCAUGGCUGGUACCAGGAACAGCUACAGCUCUGAUUCAUAUGCAUGGAGACAUCAUAUUAUUUGGACACAUUCUGCCUGGCCACCAGUCCAAGUAACCACAGGGCUCAGGACCCUUAGAGCCCUUUCUUUCUCUCCCCCACAGCCAGCAGCAUCUUGGCUUCCUGUAUUGUCUGCCUGCACUAACAGGCCUCUCCUGCCAUCUCCCACACUCUACCUCAAGCACUGAGCCUCUGCCCCACAUGAGGCGCUGUCUAUCACCCUAUACUGACUUCAUGUUCCCAGCUCACCUCUUGCUGAGACUAUUUAUUGUCUGCCGCCCUCCUUGAGAGUUCCCUGUAUCCCCCGUGAGGGGAGCCACAGCAACAUACUUGUGUUGUGAGGUGGUGUGUCAUCUAGAGCGAUAGCUCUACCCUCCAUAUCCACAGAGACGUAUAGAGACUGGACCCAGAACCAACAGCCAUUGUCAUUCCUCGGUCUCCGUCUUCUUUCCUGCCUUCUUCAGUCAGCUGCUGUUGGCAGAGUCCGUAAUAUGUUUAAUGGACUGUGAUAAUAACUGCUUGUGAGGUUCCUGCUGUUACAAAGCACAGAGCUAGCAUCUUAACCGGAUGCAGGGUAUUAUUGCGCAGCUUACAUUUUGGUGGACCAGGAAGGUCUUCCAUUCAAACACUCUCCAGACAGAGGCGGUAUUCUGAGGAGUUGUAGACUCUUCUGCAGUCGGAGACUACCAGAGGAAGAUGGCCAUCAGAGGCUUGGUUCCACUUCCUGUUUGUCCACCAAACGUGAGCAUGCAGCAUCUCCUCCCGCCACCACAGGCACAAGCUCUUCCUGUCUCCAUGACGCCUCGCCAUGGUGGACUGCUCUUGGCUGGUGUUCGGUCACAGUGAUGAGACACAUCCCUCACACACACCCACAGAACUAUUGCCGUCAGCCAUUCUCCUCCAGGAGCCAAGCAGCUGCUCUCGAGGCGCUCCAUCCUGAACUCUUACCCUCAGGCUUCCGAAUGGCCUCAGGCCAUAGAAGUACUAAAGAAGAGACUAUGGGAUGGGGGGAGGGGUGUAAGGGGGAGGGGGGAGGUAUAUACUCCUGACUUAUCCCUGCCAAGCUGCCAUAGGUUGAAGAUUUUUCAGCUCUUGUUGGUGACCUUUCCCAUGAAGGGCCCCUGGCAGGAGGAGGCAAUUGCUCUUUUCUCUCUGCCAAGGGUGUAUGGCGGCAGCCUCGCCCUCCAAACCCCAGACUCUGUACUACCUGUGGUUUCCCUAAACUCUGCCUACAGCUUUCCAAGGACCCUUCAUUAAAUGUUUCUCAGACUACCUAA